UGAAAUCCAUAUAGGCCUUGCCAGAAGACUGCCUUCCAGCAGACAUAACAGAACCUGGGAAGCUUGAUGAGAUUUUCGACCGGAUGGAUGCCAAUAGUGAUGGAAAGGUCACAUUCGAUGAGUUCAUGCCAAUGCUGUAGGAUAACCUAGCCAUUCAUCAGGAUGCAAACAAUCAACAGACCUGGCCCAAUAAAUUAGGCUAAUUAACUCAUCAGAUGUGCCCCAUUUGCAUGAAAACAAUGGAUAGCCAUUAAAAUUUUCAUCAAUGGUCCAUGUGGCGUACGCAUGUGGCUCACCCUGACUGAUGCCAAAUCAUCUACACUGUGGGUCCCAACUCCCACUCAAUGCACUUGAAUGCCCCAACCCACCUGCCUGGUUGACAUGUGUGGUCGCAUAUGGGCCAACAAAACCCUUAGAAAAGCUUCUUCUUCUUUUAAAAAAUAAAAAUAAAAUACAAAGAGCAUUUAACUAUAUACCUGGCAAUGAUGAUCAAAUCCAUCCAUACAUUUGUCACAGCUUCUGCAGUGUUUACUGAACUUAUUAACCUUCAAAGCUUCAAGGCAAUAAGCUAACUAAUAUUCACACACCCCAUAUGAAGCUGUUGCU